UACAGAGACCCCGAGCGUUACCCGGAUUUAUUGGGCGUAAAGGGUCCGUAGGUGGUAAAGUAAGUUGAAAGUUAAAAUUCAUCGGCUCAACCUUUGAAGUGCUUUCAAUACUGCUAUACUUGAGGACGUUAGGGGUGAUCGGAACCGACGGAGUAGGGGUGAAAUCCGUUGAUAUCGUCGGGAACACCAAAAGCGAAGGCAGAUCACUAGGACGAUCCUGACACUGAGGGACGAAAGCGUGGGGAGCAAAAAGG
rnacentral:rRNA from 1 species